rnacentral:lncRNA from 1 species
CUUUCCUUCCAGUCUAAAAUUAUUAAUAUCCUUCAUUCAUGUCUAAGUAAGUGCAGAAGUACAUUCAUUUUGAUUCACAAGAGACAUCGGUCUGGCAAAUAUUAAUAGACCAAUUAGCUUUUUUGGUAUCUAUCGUGGUUUAUACUUGGACAUCACCACGUUCAUAUUCUGCCUUUAAAACCGACCAUAUCUUGUUGUUUGAAUCGUAAAUGCAGGAUUUGAAAUUAAACCAGAGACAGACAACAUGAAAAUCGAAGAUACACACCAUAUUUAAUUUCCAAUUUCUCCGAUUUACAUAUAAGGUUUCUGGUUAAUUUGGUUUUUAAAA